AGAGAAACUGCCUUCAAAGGUGAUAUUCCUGCACAGAGGGAGCAAGUGUGAAGUAACAGGAUCAUGUUGCAUGAAGCCUAUUAUCUCAUCUGGAUUUUUAUACUGUCCCCAGGAAUUCUGGCUUCCUAUGUGGAACAGUCUCCAUACAUCAUCUCUAUUGCAGAAGGAGAGUCGAAGACAAUCAAGUGUAGUCUGAAGGAUACAAGCUAUCUCCAAAUGUACUGGUACAGACAGCAACCAAACCGGGCAAUAGAAGCUUUGUUUUACUCUGUUACAACAGGACCCCCUGAAAAUUACACAUCUGAGAAUUAUCAGGCCAACAGACCGACCCAAACGCUAUUUACCUUGGAUCUGAGAAGCGCCUCUUCAUCUCACACGGCUGUCUAUUUCUGUGCGUGUAGUAAUGCACAGUGUUUGAGAAGUUGUCGUUGCAGCUGCAAAAACCUGCUUUGGACUCCAUAA